UACAGGGGGUGCAAACGUUGCUCGGAAUCAUUGGGCGUAAAGCGCACGUAGGCGGUUCGUUAUGUCGGAUGUGAAAGCCCUUGGCUUAACCGAGGAAGUGCAUCCGAAACUGGCGAGCUAGAGUACUAAAGAGGAUCGCGGAAUUCCCGGUGUAGAGGUGAAAUUCGUAGAAAUCGGGAGGAACACCGGUGGCGAAGGCGGCGAUCUGGGUAGAUACUGACGCUGAGGUGCGAAAGCGUGGGGAGCAAACAGG
rnacentral:rRNA from 1 species